rnacentral:rRNA from 1 species
AUGGCGACCGGCGCACGGGUGAGUAACACGUAUCCAACCUGCCGUCUACUCGGGGAUAGCCUUUCGAAAGAAAGAUUAAUACCCGAUAGCAUAAUGAUUCCGCAUGGUUUCAUUAUUAAAGGAUUCCGGUAAAGGAUGGGGAUGCGUUCCAUUAGGUUGUUGGUGAGGUAACGGCUCACCAAGCCUUCGAUGGAUAGGGGUUCUGAGAGGAAGGUCCCCCACAUUGGAACUGAGACACGGUCCAA